AAUUUCGUGAAAUGCAAGUAUUUCUUCUGUAAUGGUAAAAUAGGAAGAAUGCUUAACUAGGAUGCUUCAAGCAGGUUUCCUGCUUAUCACCCAUAUGAAACCUAACAUAUGAUUUUUUAUUUACAAUAAUAUAUAUGCAUUUUCCUAUAAAUAUUGGGGAAGUAAACUUUUGGUGCUUUAGAAACAACCCUGCACAUAUAUAUCAGGUGACGUAUUGGCUUGCAGGUAUGCUCCGGCUAGGUUGUUUCUUCUCUUCCUUAGGCUAUGGUUGCAACCUUUGGCUGCUAUGUUGGUUUUGAUGUAUUUGCUUUUUUAUAAGCUUAUAGUUUGAAAAACUAUAUACAAUGAUUCCUAAUUUGAUGCCAAUAGCUCGUGUGAGCAUCCACAGUGAUGGGUUCUUGUGCGGAUUAUCAGAGGCAGCAGCACCGUCGUGGAGUACAUGUACAUCAAUGUCGACGGUGCCGGCAGCAACGACACAAGGUGGGCGAUUUGACCAGCGCAACAUUCUUAUUUGAGGAGCUGUGCGCAGUUCUGAAAAAAUUAAGUUGUGCUUGGUGACAUGCCUCAUUUCUGUGGUUGAAUAUUUGGUAAUUAGAUACUAUAAUUUCCUUUACUGGGUACAUGUGAAUAUUAGUUCGCACAAUUCAUUUGGUAACUAAAACUUUUAAUUAGAACUCCAUUUUAUGAUAUAGUGUUACCAUUUUCUCCCUUGCUGUGGAAAGCCACCAGCUUCAGGGAGUGCCAGGCUUCCACACAGCCAGAACAGACGCCACCUUUGGCAGGGAGCGUGAGGAUUUGGCUUGUCGAUACGAGUGAUAGCAGCGCCAUCUGCAGAUUCC